rnacentral:rRNA from 1 species
GGGGGAGCAAGCGUUGUUCGGAUUUACUGGGCGUAAAGGGCGGUAGGCGGCCACCGCAAGUCGACUGUGAAAUCUCCGGGCUUAACCCGGAAAGGUCAGCCGAUACUGCGGGGCUAGAGUGCAGAAGGGGCAACUGGAAUUCUCGGUGUAGCGGUGAAAUGCGUAGAUAUCGAGAGGAACACCUGCGGCGAAGGCGGGUUGCUGGGCUGACACUGACGCUGAACUGCGAAAGCUAGGGGAGCGAACGGGAUUAGAUACCCCGGUAGUCCUAGCCUUAAACGAUGAAUGCUUGGUGUCUGGGGUUUUAUAGUCCCCGGGUGCCGUCGCUAACGCUUUAAGCAUUCCGCCUGGGGAGUACGGUCGCAAGACUG